UACGUAGGGGGCGAGCGUUGUCCGGAAUUAUUGGGCGUAAAGAGCUCGUAGGCGGCUUGUCACGUCGGGUGUGAAAGCCCGGGGCUUAACCCCGGGUCUGCAUUCGAUACGGGCAGGCUAGAGUGUGGUAGGGGAGAUCGGAAUUCCUGGUGUAGCGGUGAAAUGCGCAGAUAUCGGGAGGAACACCGGUGGCGAAGGCGGUUCUCUGGGCCUGACCUGACGCUGAGGAGCGAAAGCGUGGGGAGCGAACAGG
rnacentral:rRNA from 1 species